CAGCAGCCGCGGUAAUACGGAGGGAGCUAGCGUUAUUCGGAAUUACUGGGCGUAAAGCGCACGUAGGCGGCUUUGUAAGUUAGAGGUGAAAGCCUGGAGCUCAACUCCAGAAUUGCCUUUAAGACUGCAUCGCUUGAAUCCAGGAGAGGUGAGUGGGAUUCCGAGUGUAGAGGUGAAAUUCGUAGAUAUUCGGAAGAACACCAGUGGCGAAGGCGGCUCACUGGACUGGUAUUGACGCUGAGGUGCGAAAGCGUGGGGAGCAAACAGGAUUAGAUACCCGAGUAGUCCCUGUCUCUUAUAC
rnacentral:rRNA from 1 species